CCAAAACCCCCAGCAAAUGGCUAGUGGCCCAAGGAAACAAAAGAAGUAGUUACAUUUUUCAUAUACUCUCCUCUUAUAGAUAGGACUAACAAAGAACAGAGUUCAUUUUGUAUCACUUCGUCCCCCUUUUUUUGGUUGAUUUCUUUUUUUUAUGGGAUUUUUUAAUGGAAUAGAUUAAAUCAAUUAAUUUAAUUGAGAACUUUUUAAUUUAUAAUUUUAUUCUAAUUAAAUUAAAGUUUACAAGAAGAUACUUAUUGGGUUANNNNNNNNNNNNNNNNNNNNGAUCCUGGGUAUUUUGUCAAUUGAUAAAUACCUUGUUUGUUGUGUUGCAAUGCAUACAAAAAAAGGUUUCCAUUACAUUAUAAUAAGAAUUAAAAAUGGCAAGGAAGAAAGCGAGAGGAUCUACUAAUUACUAAUCCUAAAAUCAGUCCUUCCUGGAGGUAUUCUCUCAAUGAAUAAGUAAUUGUUAGAGUACAAUGUUGAUAUAAUUCGAAGAAAUAAAAAGCAAGUCUAAGUAAAAAAAAAUUACAUACUUUUAUUUCUUCUAAAAUUAAACAAAUGGAUUCACAAAGAAAAGUGCUAAUGCCACAACCAGUCCAUAAAUUGUUAAAGCUUCCAUAAAAUACCAAUAAAGUACCUCGUAUUUUACCCUCUGCUUUUGGCUGUCUUGCAAUACCUUCUACAGCUUGACCCGUAGUAGUACCUUGACCAACCCCAGGUCCAAUAGAAGCAAGCCCUACAGCCAAUCCAGCAGCAAUAACAGAAGUGGCAGAAAUCAGUGGAUUCAUGAUAAGCUAAGCUCCUCGCAAAAAAAAAAAAGAAAUGGUUAAUGAUACAAUCAAGGAAUUAAUCAUCAGAAAUACAUUGAAAUCUCACUUUUUGUUCUUAUCCGUGAUAGAGUUUUAGAUAAAUCUAUAUGCACAUACCAUUAUAGUUAUUACAUUUCUUUAUUCUAAACCCAUUUAUCAUUCAAUUCGUCAUUCUUUACACUUCCACUUCCUCCUGAGUUCAGAGUUCAUCUAUUUAGUUGUUCAAUCCACACUCACAAACAAAGCCGAAGGACUAUCUAUUGAAAUCUCCUCUAAGUGCAGUGAGCUAUGAAAUAAAUAUAAGAUGUAAGAACCUCACUAAAACUAGUGAAUUUAUAAUAUCACAUAUACAUUUGUUUCUUCUAUAACAUAAACCGCUUAUUGAAAACGAUUCUAAAAUCAUUUUUUUUAACCAUAGAUGAGGGCUAGAUAGACUUAUCACUAUUAUUCUGAGUUUCAUUUUUAUAAGAUAAGCUAUCAUUUUUUUUUAGUUUUAUGUCGGAAAAAGAUAAAAAUUAUUAUUCAAAUUCAAAAAGUUAUAAAAAAAUUAUAAUAUUAAUUUAAAAAACAAAUAAAAUAUAAAUACGAUAUAAAUUUGUAUAAAAUGUUACAAUUCAUUUAAUUAAAUAUAGAACCAAAUAACUAGAUGAAAAUCAGUACUUAACUAAACUUUUAUGUUCUUCAAAGGGUGACUAGUUGAGACAUACAACAAGAAUCCCUUGAUAAAAGUAUUCCAUGAAAGGAUAACUUUAUUAUUAUGAAUUAAAUAAUUCAUGUAAUUAUCUAAUUUAUUGUAUAAGUUUUUGAUUGAAUUAUUCUUCAAUUGGAAAACUGAUUUUAUCAUUAAAUAAUCUUACAACUAAAGAAAAUAUUAUUUGGUCUAAUUGAAAUGAGAUUAUUGGAAAAGAAAUUGUAUAAUUACUUGAUUUGAUAAUCACUUGGUCUAAAAAUUAACUAGAUUAAAAGUGUAUCUUCAUUCUUAAAUUGGUCAACCAAUAGAUAAUGUUGAAUUACUCAUCAUUCUAAUUUAAUAAGUAGAUAGCAAAAUAAUAUUAUUAAUUUAAUUAAAAUAAUGCCUUAUUUUAUCAGAAUAUCAAACAAAUUGAAACGAAAUAUGAGUUGCACACUCCUUGGUCUUUCUAAAUAGAGAAUAAAUUUUGGUCCUGCAGGCCACAGCACGUCACCAUGAAGAGGGGCUACGUGGGGUAGAUUGGCCCUACUUAGUACCAGUUACAUUCUGGGGCAAGGGAAAGGGAACUGUAAAAUUGAUUCUGGCUAGUAAUCAACUUCCAGAAAUACCCAAACUACCCCGUGGGACGAUGUUCGUUUCGAUACCCUAAGUUCCUUUUCCUCAUCUAUAAAUACUCCAUGGCGUAUAAGGGCACUAACCCUUUCGCGACUGGUUGUCUCCUCGUUCCUAACCUCUGCCGCCGCCGCCUCCGCCUCUAGGUUUCUUCCUCUGCGGAGCUUUUCGAACCAUGGCGACCCAGCAAAGCAAGAAGAGAAAGGCAAGUCCCCGAAACCCGGGCGGCUUGAAACAACUCUCUCCUCUCGAUCCUCUCCGUUCUGAUCUGAUUAUUUGGUUCGUCAUCUUGGUCUCUUUUUAAGAUUUGCGAUGGAUUUUUUAUGAUUGCAGUUUGUGGCCGACGGGGUCUUCUUUGCGGAGCUGAACGAGGUGCUGACCAGGGAGCUUGCCGAAGAUGGGUACUCAGGGGUUGAGGUCCGCGUUACUCCUAUGCGCACCGAAAUCAUCAUCCGCGCCACCCGCACCCAGAACGUCCUAGGUACGUGCGUCAAUGCUGUUCCCGCAUUCCAGAAACUUGUCCGUAUUCCUAUACUGCAACCGGCCUUGGCUGUGUUGAAUUUUUCCGGCUUCGUUUCUCCUGGAAUUCGGAACUGAUGCGUGGAUAUUGGGAUGCCAUCUUUGUCUCAUUGAUUUUUUUCUUGUUUUCUCUAUUGUAGUUUUUAAACCUCUGGCUAUUUUUGUGACGCUAAUUGGUCGGGUGUGCGGGCGUUAGGUGAAAAGGGGAGGAGGAUCAGGGAGCUGACUUCGGUGGUCCAGAAGAGGUUCAAGUUCCCGGAGAACGGCGUUGAGCUAUAUGCCGAGAAGGUGAAUAACAGGGGACUCUGUGCAAUUGCUCAGGCGGAGUCCUUGCGAUACAAGCUUCUUGGUGGCCUUGCCGUACGGAGGUAAGAAGAUCACCUCCCGUGACUGUGACUCAUCUGCGCGAUUUGCUGAUCUACUUACUUGUAACAUAUUUACGUCUGAGUAUUUUUCAAGAUGCCAGGACGUUCUGUGCGAUAGGCAUGCAGAGGCAUUUUCUCGAUUUCAAAAAGUCCUUGCAUGCAAUUUGGUCUUUGUUCUGUUUAGCCCCGCCGUUACACUUCUUUACUAAAGUUGGUACAAAGCUAUGCUUUUCUCUACCAUUCUUUCUGAGAUCUUGCCAACCCAUCAUGAAGGUUCGCUGGCUUGAUUCAUUAUAUUUGCACACAUUACAUAAUUAAGAUCUUUCCAUCUUAGUUGUGAGAUCUUCAGAUGUUGUGCAUAGAAAAUAAGCUGUUUGUUCAGCAGCGGCCAGACAACCGUAGGGAUGGAUCCACAGGUUUCAGGUCGCAAGUACCGGUUGCCUACUGAUUCCAUCGUACAGGUGUUUCAUACAAGGAUUGUGGCUGUUCGCUCCUUCCUAUCAACUGAAUAUUACUUAAUGUCACUCUCAUUUUGGGGCGCUAGUGAUCCGAAAUACAUUUUCCAUUUGAUUUUUUUAUCCGGAAACUGGGUCUCCCAGAUCCAUGGCGUUCUCGUUGCGUCAUAUGAGUUUAAAUAGUUUUCAUACGUUUUGAUGGGGAAUUAUGUUCCCAGAUUUAUCUCUAUGGUUUUAUGUGGAUAAAUGGGUUUUAUUCCCUUCAUACUAAACAAGGAUCUCUGAUAGUUGAUGUAUGCUACUUGCACCUGUGGUGUAGUUGAGGCCUUACUGUCACUAGUGAGGCCUCUACGUGUGGUGGGUGCUAAGAAAAAAGUAUUCGGCAGCGGCCAGACAACCGUAGGGACAGAUCCACAGGUUACUGGUUGUAAAUAAUUCCAUCUGUCUACUGAUCACCUCUCACUGGCGUCUUUGUUUCAAGAAGUAUGCGUGUUUUAGGUUUCUUGCAAGUUUCCUUCUCGGGGGUCAUUGAAAAAAGCAGAAAUAUGUGUAGUUGUCGAAUUCCAUAUCAGCGAGAUGGGAAAAGAUUUUGGGUUUGUUAAUAAAAGCAUUAAUGGAAAACGGUCAUCUUUGUUCAAGACCUCAUUAACCUGAUCCCAGGUCUUGUUUGCUCUUUCUCUAGUAAUUGCAUCUGUCAAACAGUUAAAGGCCAUUCCAGGAUAGUAGUGAUGGCCCUCUGAUAUGGUGCACAAAUAAAAUUGCUGUUUGUACAGCGGCGGCCAGACAACCGUAGGGAUGGAUCCACAGAUAAAUGGUUGCAAGUACCAUCUGUCUACUUUUUCCAUCGUACAUACGUUUAUCCGCGUGGGCAUGGGAAUUUCUUUGACAUGGAGAGCAAUGGAAUACAUGUAGCUGCUAAAUUUUUGUAGCAGAUCUCUUGUGCCAUUUCGGGUUUGUUGACUUGCGGCUGACCUAUGCUCAGGGCUUGUUAUGGAGUUCUGCGGUUCAUCAUGGAAAGCGGUGCGAAAGGGUGUGAGGUAUGUUGUGAGCAUUGUUAAUGUGUGAUGGUGUAAAAAACAGGGCUGAUGAAAAAGAGUGCACAUUGUAGACGCCUCCGAUUUUGGAGCCGCUGUUCCUCUUACUUGUUUUGAUAUGAUUCUCCCGCUGGAUGUGCGAUUCCCAGGUGAUUGUCAGUGGAAAACUCAGGGCGCAGCGAGCAAAGUCAAUGAAGUUCAAGGAUGGGUACAUGAUAUCCUCCGGUCAGCCAGUCAACGAGUACAUCGAUUCUGCUGUCAGGCACGUUCUUCUCCGGCAGGUCAGUACCUGGGUCAAGGGGCCGCUCCUCUUGCCACGUGCCCGCCCUCCUAUCCCCCUCCCCCCCCUGAAAGCUCUCUCUGUCAAAUCUGAGCUCUGCCUUUCUGUGCUGUCUUCCUGUUGGGCAGGGGGUGCUGGGGAUCAAAGUGAAGAUCAUGUUGGACUGGGAUCCCAAGGGGAAGGUCGGCCCUGCCACGCCGCUUCCCGAUCUGGUCACCAUUCACAACCCCAAGGAUGAGGAGGAGCUGCCGCCCCGGCCGGCCACGGCCGUUCAGGAGAUCUUCGUCCCAGUUGCGGUCCAGUGACUCCCUCACCUCCUCUCUGAUGGCUCUGGCUCGACUAACGGGUUUUGAUAUGGCCGAGUAGCAGCCUCUUUUCUCCGUGGAGCCUCGCCUAUUUGUUGCUUCCGAGACGACGACACACGAUUAGUUUCUCUCUUAUGUACCCAUUUCCUCUACGUUUCCCAGUUUUGUUUUCCCCUCUGCUGAAGAGUGACGGCAAUAAGAGAAUUUUAUGCUGUUGCCUAAUCCUGGCCUUCACCAGUUUUGAGUAUGGAGUUGGUUGGCAACGCGCAGAGACCAUCAAUUCUGAUUUGAUUUGGGGUUUAACCCGCGUUUUUAGGAUGGUUCCAGGCUGACCGACUCCACACGGUCUGCGAGAUCAAUUGUAAUACAAGGCCCGUUAAAAAGGAAGAUUCGCCGUACACUCAGUAUGAUAGUCGGACAGGUUAAAGUAGAAGAAAGUGUCGGCAUGCUCACUCUCGCGUCUCCACGCCUCAAGUUUCUCCCGCUUCCCCUUCAUGUUCCUGCUCCAUGUCCUCUCCCGCGAGGAGGUGCGAUAGGACGACUCUCGGCUUCUUGGGCACGGAGGCGUCUUGUCCAGCUCCGACUUCCCGGGCCUUCUUCCCCUCUCCGCCGCCCUGCGCUGGAAGCUCAGCAGAAGCUUUCCUCUUCCCAUCGUCGGCAGUCCGUUCAUCUCCGGCCUUCUUCCCGGCGGCGGCCCCUUCUUCCUUGAGAGACUGCUGGAGCUUGCGCUCGCACUCAGAGAGGGCGGCGCGGGCUUCGUCGCCGCCGGCAAGGUCGAGUGGCGUCUCCCCUGCCCUGGUCUUCGCGCCGAGGCUGGCGCCUUUCCGGAUCAGGUACUUGGCGAGGUCCAGGUGGGAGCCCUUCACGGCGUAGUGCAGCGGAGUCCAGCCCUUACGGUUGGCAGCUCGGACGGACGCUCCCGAGGAGAGGAGGGCGCGGACGACGUCUGUGUGCCCCUUCUGGGCGGCGAAAUGGAUGGCGCCCAUGUCGUCCAUGGCCGCAGCACCCGCGUCGGCCUUGUUGCUGCAGAGGUAGCUGACGACUUCCAGGUGCCCAGACCACGCGGCUAGGUGAAGUCUCCAGAGAAAUUGUCCACGUCAAGGGAACCAGCAACUUGAAUUGAAUGAACGAGGGCGACAAUAAUCGCAUACCAUGCCAUAUUGCAAUCACGUUUUGUAGAGAUAUAAUGGAAUGAUAGGAUUCAAUGGAUGCACACACAAAAAAAUUGGAUCACAACAGAGAUAGAUGGCCAUGUUGAAAUGCAAAGUGGGGUAAUUUUUUUUCCAUUAAGAGUUUACCCAUCUAUGAUUUUCAGAGGCUGGUGCUACGUCAAAGAAAGAAAGCCUGCGGUCGACAACCAGUGUCUGUCAGCCAAAAGUGGCUUUCAAGGCGACUGACGUGGUAUAUCUUCAAUAUCAAGAACGUCCUAUAUAUGGUUCAGUAGAUCAUUAUAAUUUGAGUCAUUGGCCACCGUGAAAAAAACCCACAAUAAUUUGGGUACUGGGUCAAAGUAAAAAGAAGUAGAACCAUUUAUGGUUACCCUGAUAGCAGAGUUACAUUAGAUAGAAACAGAGGGGAUACAGUAAGAUGCAGUAAUUUAGGCACGUACACAUACACCAAGAUCCUUAAUGGUAGCUACAAUUCCUAGAUUUCUGAAGUAAACCAUGAAGGAGUAGACUAUAGUGGGUGUCUCCAAUACGUUACCAAUAAAUUUUUAGAGCUUGAUGCAAUUUUCAGGUUUAGGGUUUAACAAUUUCUGUAGACUCAAACUAGUUCUCCUUUUUAUUAAUGCGACAUAACUUUCAUAAAUAUCCUACCGACACUUCUUCUUUUGAAAAAAGAGGAAGACAAUUGCAUCGUAGGAAACAAAGAAAAAAAAUAAGUGAAAAGUGAGGAGAUAGAUUGAAAUCAAAUUCAUGGUCGUGGUGCCGUUUUCAAAGGAGUUUCAAUAAAGAGCUACGUUAGAGUAUGACAACGCCAGAGUCUGUUCUCGAGUGAAAACAGGGGGAGGUUUCAACCUUGGAAGAAAUGUGGGACGGCUGAGCAUCACAAGAGCAUGCACAGAUUUCCAAUGUCAAGUGUCCGUGAACAGGAGAAACCCUAAGAGACAGUGUGGAGAGAAUUUCGAAUGAGAAAACUGGAAGGGCACAGAAACUAAGUAAAAAGCAAGCAUGGUGCGGACAUAAACCGGAGAAACAGCUGCGGAUCCAUGAAAAUAUCUAACAAAGCGAUAUUCGAAUCCAUUCGUUGCAUCAGUAUCCAUCGGAGAACAUUGUGCGCGUACGCACACCUCAGCUCAUCUUGGAGAGGACAACCUCCUAACCUAGUCACCUCCAACUUGCCGAUCCAUUAUCUCCUUCCCUCCCGCUGCCUCACAGAAUCAGUCGCUGACCAGUCAGCACACAUACUCUGGAGGAGAUAACUCUUAGUUCUCGGGAAAUCGAUCGGAAAAACGGAGGUCAAAUGAGCCGGAAGGCUCCGAAUGAAAGUAAUCGAACAGAGGCGGCGGCGAAGGAUACGGGGUGCGGGAGUGCCUGUCCCGGGCAUUCACCGAGAGUGGGUUGGAGCUGCAUAUGGUGCGGACGGCGACGAUGUCCCCCGCCCUCGCCGCAACGUGCAGCGGCGGGUCUUCUUCCCCUCCCCUGCCCUUCCCGCCGGACGUUUUCCUUCGUUCGCCCCCCAUCUCUCUCUCUCUAGCUCUCUCUCUCUCCCCUCCGACCCUCUCCCCAGUUCAACCGACGGGAAAAGGAAGCAGAGGAGACAACUGAUAUUAAUCUAUCUUCCAUUCGUCCACACUGUUGGAUUAAUGAACCCUAAACCGAAAUAAAAUGGCCCAAAACAAAACUGGUCCUGCUGGGCCUAAGCCAAGGCCCAUCGAGAGGUACUGGAGCCCGGAAGCGAGCGAGCGAGCGAGAGAUAGAGCGAGAGAUAGAGAGAGAGAGAGAGAGAGAGAGAGAGAGGUUCUUCUUAUCCAAAAAUAAAUGUGAAAUAAUAUUAGAACUAUUUUAUUUCUCGAGUGGUGCACAUGGCAUCCAUCACAUGUGUCGUGUCGUAAUUUAAGCCCAAUAAGCAAUCCACCGUCAUUCAUCACACCUUCCAAGGCUCCCUCCCCCCCGUCUCUCUAUUUAUAUUUAUAUGUAUGCUAUUGAUUAUACACGACCUUUAUUCGAUAAAUAGGCGGUAAUGCCCAUUAUCAGGCUCCUGCUUGCUUUGUAAUCCCCGCAACUACCCAAAUAAUAAAUAAAUCCCCUGUAUCUCCACUAGCAACCGCCCCAUCGGAACCGUCCAAUUAAUGCCCCUUAACUCCGAUGGUCCCCCCCCCCCCCCUUCCCUCACUGUAACCGAUCUACCAAGUAGCCCCACAGACGCGUCCGGCUUCUAAUUUGUGCCGAUCUGCUCUGAGAAAAAGGCUGAUAAUUCGAGCAAUAAUCUGGUACUAUUUUAGAGCAUCGAUGCAUAUAGUCGGCGGCGUUUAUGAUUGCCCGAUUAAAUUUUAGUUUUAUUUCACCGAUCAAUUAAUGUAAUAAAUCGUUGAUCUUAGUUUUGCCGCAGCGAGUUGACAAAAACGCCCCGCAUCGUUCAGGCUGCGGCCCAGAGAAGAGGAUCUGGCGGUGCCCGCCGUAAUUUAGUCCAUUUGUAGGGGCCGAUGCCGUGGGGGAAGUCAAUAAAUGCUUCUUCUGCUCUCUUAGUUCAGUGACUGGUGCGACCGGAAAGCGGAGAAGACCAGAGGAGUGGACAGAGGGAGGAGGAGCAGGAGAGAUGAGCCUCAAGGUAUGCCUGAUUCUGCUUUGCUUCCUCUCGCGGGAAACGCGUCAUCGCUCCUCUGGUCUCUAUCUACCAUCCGUUCCUAACUCUAGUCAUGGAUCUCGGCGUACGCUUUGCGCAGCGGGAUCGGUUUGAGUCCUAUCUGAGCUUUCUCUGAGAAAUACCCGCGUCGCUGGUUCAGUUUUAUCCUCUUGUCCGAGGUCAUCUCUCUUCACGUCGGGAUUAUGAGAGAACGCUGGUUUGCGCUGGCUCGGUUUCCGGCUCUUAGAUUUGACUGCCACUGUGGGAACUGUGUGAUACGUGUGAUUUCGGCAUCUGAUGCUCCCUUGUGCCCGUCCACAACAACGUCACCGUUUCUGCCGAUCUUGUCACCGCGGAAAGGCUGUCUGCAUUCUUUGCUGCCGAUCAGUUUCAUUGAUACCGGCUCAUACGAAACGGGUUUGGUUCUUCCGUGCCUGUCGGUGUCCUCCCUUCGAGCUAUAUACCCUCGCCUCGAGAUGAGAACGCCAUCAUUUCACAAAAAAGCUUUGGUUGGUCCUCGGGUUCGGAAGAUUCAAUGCGCCUCUUCACUUCCACGCCUUCCUCAUUUGACUCGCUCCUUCUUGCCUUCUGGUGCCUGCUUCUUACGAUUCCUCCCUCGCUAAAGAAGGCUCGAUGCUGCAGUCUUCUCUUAUGAACGAAAAACUUUAUUCAACGGUCUCGAGCCCUUUUUUGUACGGGGGACGCCUGCCGUCUUGUGAAAGAUCUGUCGGGGAUUGUUUCUUACUGCUUCGUUCGGCUACCAGGAGGAGUUCGAAGAGCAUGCCCGGAAGGCGAUGACCCUGCCGGAGAACACAACCAAUGAGAACAAGCUUAUUCUCUACGGGCUUUACAAGCAGGCAACUGUUGGGCCUGUGAAUACCGGUAACUCUUCUGUUCAUUAUGUUAGCCGACUGACCGGCGCCCGAUUCAUAGAUCAACCAUGAGAACAGAUGAACGUCGUCUUAAUUGGCUGUUCUGUGACCAACCAACAUAUUCUGAAUGAACUCGGGGCCGAUAGGCUUCUGCCACAAUCAUAGAUAAGAUUUACGGGGUUCAGGGAGGGGGUGGGGUGACGAGUAAAUCAACAACAACUAACAACUGACAAGGCGCCCCUCCCCCCGGCUAUAGCUCACCCCUGACUGAAGAAACUUUGUUUGACGUUGAAUGCACAACACAAGUUCUGUUCUAAAGAAGGUUUCUUGGUUUCGUUCGGCUUGGAUCACUACGUCUCCAGGUCGCCCAUCAUAACUGUUUAUUUUGCUUUAUUAUUGAAUUGGUUUCCCAUGAAAAUAUCAAAGGAAGGGGUAGAGAAAAAGUGAGGUUCCUCAGGAAGGUUGACCUCUCAAUCAUGGUUAGUCUUCUCAACCAUUUCUCCUUUUCCUUGCCAAUAUCUGAAUCUGAUGCUUGAUCUCCAGAGAGGCCCGGGGUGUUCAAUCAGAGGGCAAGAGCCAAGUGGGACGCCUGGAAGGCUGUCGAAGGUGAAACAAAAUGGCCAGACCCCUUUGACCCGGUUGCCUGCUAGCUGUCUCGCUCACCUCGUUGACUUAUCGUUACUCAUGGAAGCCGUCGUCUUCCUCCCUCACAGGGAAAUCCCAGGAGGAGGCAAUGAGCGACUACAUCACCAAGGUGCAGCAGCUGCUGGAAGAAGCCGCCGCUUCUGCUUGACGCCAUCUUUCCCUUGAGUCACCCCGCUCGAGAGGGUGCCAUUCUCUCUCUUGCCUCCCACGUGAUCUCUGCUGUCAGUUUCUCCCGUUCCAGAAUAAGAUUGUUUCCUCAAGGAGAACCUGGGCCCUGGCUCGGUUUUCUCCAGGCCCGGGCCUCAAUAUCAGAAAAAUGGGCUCGGCCCAAGCAUUCUGGCCUGGCCCAUACCCUAUUGUAGCUUAUUCUGUGCCAUGGCCUCAAAAUUGUGUUUUUCUAUUUAAAUAAAAUUAUCGGGCUUUUUCGUGUACGAACUCCAACCGACCGAACGUACGUCGCUCUCAGGGACGUACCGGACCACGUGCAGCGUGAGCCACCCAGACUUGUGGCCCAAGAAAACCCCGUCAGAUUUUCCUGCGGAAUACUGCCACCUCGGAUCGUCUGGUCCCGAGGGCCUCCGAUCAGGCGGCUGCUGGGCGACUGAUCGUCCGUUUAAUUAAAUCUUCCCCAGGGACAUCGCAACCAAAGUGAGGGAGGUGCCGUGACCGGAACUUUCCUGGUCCUCCGCUCCGCCUCUCGUUGAAUUUCCACGUGUGACCUGGCGGCCACCGCCAAUCUCGACUAAAUAUACACAACCCGUCCUUCCCGAUCAAUAUAAGCUCGUCUGGACCGUCCUGCCCGUCUGUCGUCAACCCCCAAGAGAGAGAGAGAGAGGAGAAAGCGGGAGAUAGAGAGAUGGUUUGCAGGGUCGCCGGAGCUGGGCUGGUUAGGCAGGUCGGCUGGGCGCUCUUCGCCUCGGGCCCGGCGGCGGCGCGCGCAGCUGCUGAACCGGCGUACGCGGCGGUGCUGGGAACUGGGGCCGCAGGGCCUACGCCGGUGCACACCGCCGUGUGGCUGCUGAGGUUUCAAACGGCCAGGCACGCGAGCACUCUGUCGUCUCCGGCGGCGCUCGGCGGGGAAGAGGAGGAGGCGAAGAAGACCGCGGCGGCGGGGAAGUCUGAUCAGAAGGCCUUGGCGAGCUACUGGGGCGUUCCGCCUUCCAAGUUCACCAAGGAGGACGGCUCCACGUGGCGCUGGGCCUGCUUCCGGGUUCGUCCUCCCCAUCCUCCCCCCCCCCUUCGAUGGCUCAAUAGUGGAAUGACCAUAACGAUAGAUAGGUAGAUCCGUGCCGAGUAUGCUACGGAGUGAUGGUUGAAUUUGGAUUGAUCUCUGGGUGGCAGCCAUGGGAGGCUUACGAGCCGGACCUGUCGAUCGAUCUGAAGAAGCACCACGCCCCCACCACCUUCCUCGACAGGAUGGCCUUCUGGACCGUCAAGUCCCUCCGCUGGCCCACCGACCUCUUCUUCCAGGUAAGAAAGCACUCGGCAAAACUCCUUCUGUCGUCCUCGUAGGCGGAUGAUCUGAUCUUCUUGCUCGCCCUCCGCGCCGCCGUCUGUCCGUUGGCGGCAGAGGAGGUACGGGUGCCGGGCGAUGAUGCUGGAGACGGUGGCGGCGGUGCCAGGGAUGGUGGGGGGGCUGCUGUUGCACCUCAAGUCCCUGCGGCGGUUCGAGCACAGCGGGGGGUGGAUCAAGGCGCUGCUGGAGGAGGCGGAGAACGAGAGGAUGCACCUGAUGACGUUCAUGGAGGUGUCGCAGCCGAGGUGGUACGAGCGGGCGCUGGUGCUGGCCGUGCAGGGGGUCUUCUUCAACGCCUACUUCCUGGGCUACCUUCUCUCCCCAAAGUUCGCACACCGGAUGGUCGGCUACCUAGAGGAGGAGGCCAUCCACUCCUACACCGAGUUCCUCAAGGAGAUCGACAAGGGCACCAUCCCCAACGUCCCCGCCCCCGCCAUCGCCCUCGACUACUGGCGCCUUCCCCCCGGCUCCACCCUCCGCGACGUCGUCCUCGUCGUCCGCGCCGACGAGGCCCACCACCGCGACGUCAACCACUUCGCCUCGGUACUACUACUACUACUACUACUACUACUACUACUACUACUACUACUUCCUCAGCCAGUCCGUCCCCCUCCUUGCUCCUGCUGCUGCUCCAUCUUCUGUGUUUGACGACCGCCGCCGUUUUCUACAGGAUAUCCACUACCAGGGGCACGAGCUGAAGGAAGCCCCAGCGCCGCUUGGGUACCACUGAGGGAGAAAUUGCUUCAUGGCGGCGCCCGGUCUGAUAAUAGUAGAAAACCACUCUUUCUCCGUCUAAACCCCUUCCGCUAACAUUCCGUGCUCUCUGUGUCAAUCAAUGUCUGACGGGAGAGAGUCCAUGAAAAUGCUGUAUGUUUUGAAUGAUCUACCUGGAGGCGGUGAGAUGUGCUUCUUCUCAUUUUCCCCACCGGGAGAGGAUGAGGAGGCCGACGACGGAGAGGCAGGUGCCGGCCACGACGCCGACGACCAGCGCGAAGGCGUAGAUCUGGCUGGGCAAGUUGAGCUUCGUCUGGAUUCUCUUCAGCAGCUUGUCGAUAGCGGGCGCCAGCGCCGCCGCCCCCGCCACUCGGAAGGGCCGAGUGACGUUGUUGCCCGUCCACAUGAGAAUCACGAUCUGUUCUCCCGUUCAUCUCAAACAUCAGUGAGCAGAAGAAAACCGCCGGGGACAGUUUGCAUCGAAGGAAUCAGUCUGGAGAUAGAGAACAGAGAGGGAAUGGGAGAAGAUGCCCACAAAUGGGACUUCUUUCGCACAGGGUGGGGGAAAGCCGAUCUCUGCAAGGAGAUCAACGGACGUCAAGGGGAGAAUGGAUGGGAUGGAUGGCUUGAAGAAGAGGCCGGAUUGAUCUCGGCGUCCGGAGCUCGGGUUCCGGUGACGAUGAAUCAUCGCGGCAGUGAGAGUCCGGAGGAGUAAUCGCCAUGGCAAGUUGAGAGGAUGGAUGCAUUGCGAGAAUUAUGAAGGCAGGCAGGUAGUAGAUGGCGAGUUCACGCGGGUAGCUUACCCC
rnacentral:lncRNA from 1 species